rnacentral:rRNA from 1 species
UACGUAGGGCGCAAGCGUUGUCCGGAAUUAUUGGGCGUAAAGAGCUCGUAGGCGGCUUGUCGCGUCGGCUGUGAAAACCCGCGGCUCAACUGUGGGCGGGCAGCUGAUACGGGCAGGCUGGAGUUCGGUAGGGGAGACUGGAAUUCCUGGUGUAGCGGUGAAAUGCGCAGAUAUCAGGAGGAACACCGGUGGCGAAGGCGGGUCUCUGGGCCGAUACUGACGCUGAGGAGCGAAAGCCAGGGGAGCGAACGGG